GUGAAUUGUGCAAGAAGAAUACACUAUGUGGAUUAUUUCUAAAAUCAAAUGUUUGAAAUUAAGGGUGAGUUCUGAGCAUAGAAAGCAGCCUGAAGCCCCAGGAUUCAGGUCCCCAGAUUACGAAGGACUGGACAGGAUUCACUCCUGUAAGCAAAGUUCUUUUUCUCUAGUACUGUGGUUUCUGGAAGAAACAGUUGUUUAGAGAUAAAAAAUCAGGAAAUCCAAAAUGAAUAAACAUGUGAAAAUGUAGAAAUUGACUGUUGGCGAGGACUUGAAGAUUCUUUCCAUAUUUUGAAGAUGUG
rnacentral:lncRNA from 1 species